GUCGGACCUCUCUCACAUUCUGAGCUCUUCCAGCUGAAAGCUGCACUAUUUGAUGCAAAGAUUAAGCUUCAGGAAAGGAAAAUACUCAGAUGCUGAUAAGUGACAUGGCAGAACAGCAACCAACGACCCCUGCGCUGGAUGUGAGAGAGAAAUGUCAGCUCUUCAUGUGGAAAUGAGUCAGCCAACCAUAUGUAAACAUCAGGGGGAGCAGCGAGCAUGACAGAGAUUUGAGCGAGGAGAACAUGAAAUGGGCUUUAAUCUGAUCACAAAUCUUGCUUCCGGGGAGGAGAGCUGCAUGCUGCCAAGUGCCCUAGACAGCAGAGACAAGUCCCCAAUUAUGGAUGUGCAGACUCAGAAGGAUUCAAAGAAAGAGCUGGCAGAUCCAAUAGGAUUCAAGGAGCUAGGAGAUGUCUUAUCAUCAAGUUAAUGACUCAAGCAAAGUGAAGAAGACAAAAAUGCAGAAGUCCAUCCAUUUAACCAUCACACCAUACCUUUAAGAGAAAGAUAUAGAGGCACUAAUAUUGCCACCUGAUUUUUCUCAAGUGCUGCCAGACUCACCAGGAACUCAGGGUAAUGCUGAAAAUUAGACCUGUACCUGCAGACUGAUGUAUGCUUUUUGUUAUGA